UUCCACUGACUGAAAUUUAUCACCGAGGUGGAAAUUAAGGAUGCGAUUCAGCCAAUCGGAAAUAGAGUACUCUUCCGCGAAAAGCUGUUCUCUUGGAGGAAAACAAAGUUUACUCAAGAAAUAUCUUCGCAACUAUCGUCUCCAAAGCCAUCGCCACAAAAGGCACCGAGAGCACUUUUAUUUUCGUUGCCGUCUAAUGCGACUAAAUUCAAAUACACUCUUAACAAGAGCUUGAAUUCAAUUUUAAGUGGAACGGCUGCUAGAAAAAAACUUCUAGCAUGUAAAGUACUGACUGAAAAGCAAAGAGACAUUUUCAUUAAUCAUAUUAUUGAGGAAAUCAAAAACAACAACAUCAACCUUCAAGUAAGCAGCUUACCAAAUUUG